ensembl:lncRNA
GUUUAUCAGGUUUAUCAAGUUUAUAAUGUUUAUCAGGUUUAUCACGUUUAUAAUGUUUAUCAGGUUUAUCACGUUUAUAAUGUUUAUCAUGUUUAUCAUGUUUAUCACGUUAUCAUGUUUAUCACGUUUAUCAUGUUCAUCACGUUUAUCACGUUUAUAAUGUUCAUCACGUUUAUCACGUUUAUCAGGUUUAUCACGUUUAUCAGGUUCGUCACGUUUAUCAGGUUUAUCACGUUUAUCAGGUUCAUCACGUUUAUCACGUUUAUCAGGUUUAUCACGUUUAUCACUGAGUAAAUACGUCAUCGCGACACAGAAAGACAGCGUGUAUUGUUUUGGCACAAUGAGAUGACUGAAGAACUGAAAAUGAGUGUGUCUGAGGGAACAUGGAUCACAGCGGUUACUGCGGUUACUGCGGUUACUGCAUCUCUGUGGAAAAUGACCAAAUGUUUCGGAGAAAUAUAACAGGAAUGCUUAUGUACAGGAAAAUAAUGGCUCUCUAUUGUAAAUUAAUUAAAGAUUUAUUGUAAACAAAUCAAAGACGGUCUGUUGUAAACACAUUAAGGCGGUCUGUUGUAAAUAAAUUAAAGGCGGUCUGUUGUAAAUAAAUUAAAGGCGGUCUGUUGUAAAUAAAUUAAAGGCGGUCUGUUGUAAAUAAAUUAAAGGCGGUCUGUUGUAAAUAAAUUAAAGGUGGUCUGUUGUAAGCACAUUAAAGGCGGUCUUGUAAAUAAAUUAGGGAUGGUCUAAGAGAAAUGUACGGUGGUCUAGGGAAAAUAAAAUGUAGUCUUUUAUUCCUAGUGUAGUGCUCUCCAGGAGUUCAGUGUGUAGGUGGAGUGUCUAAUCAUUUUUAGAUCAACACAACAUCUGCAGGGCUGCUGAGUCUGUGAACACACACACACACACACACACACACACACACACACACACACACACACACACACACACACAGGAAGUGGUUAAAGACUUCGGAAACAUUGCUGCACAGUGCGUUCAUAUGAGUCCAUACACACACACCUAGACACACACACACACUCUUGGAAUUGAUGACAUGUAGCCACAUCCUCUCAAUCAAAC